rnacentral:lncRNA from 1 species
UCAUUUGGAGGACCCGCAGCUGCAAUUCAAGAAGAAGUAUUUACAAGGGCGCUAAGGCAGCUGGAGCUUCAAUCGGAUUUUGGUUAAGGGUUUCUCUUAGUCGGGCUGGCGACUUAAAAACUAGCGCUGCAUGGGAGGCAACCCAUGUUUUCUUGCUUCUUCUUGUUUCGUUUUUCUUUCGUUUUGUUUGUGUCUUGUUUUGUUGCUUUUGUUGUUUGGUGCAGGUUGUUAUGUUGGAGACUGCUUGUUCUUUGGACGAGAGAGAGGCAGACAUUGUGGGACACUACAGACUCACCACUGGACCGGUAUUUAGGGAAGUUUCCUCUUUCACCCCUCUUUUUGUUUGCACUGAGGACAGUGCCAGAUUUUAAGUGUGGGGGGGGUGUUUGUUGGUUUUUGUGAAUCCUAUGGGUGUCUUCUUGUUGUGUCCUUGGGUUUUCUUGUGUUGGGGCGAAUGGUCCCCUUGCCUUGUUUUCUUGCUUGUUUUUAAGUGCAUCGCAUGUUGAUAGUGGUUCAUUGGCGAUUCUGGAUUGUGUCUGUGUUGUUUGUUAUCCACGUUUUUCUUGAUUGAUUUGUUCCCAAUAAAGUGUAAUUAGUUUAAGGUUUUGGUGCAACACCCUGAUGAGCAACUUUUGACGUGAUUUGUCCGGUAGAAGCUAGGGGGAGUGUUUUCAGUGCAAAUUCCUAAUAUCAUUCUCUGUGUUUUAUUGUUUGGUUGGUUGUUGAGUUUUUGAUAAAUCUGGGUCUCUGCUCCUCUAAUGGCUUCAUUAUGAGCAUGGGAAACCACACGAGAAUAUUUUGGAUCACCUCCAAAAGUUCAAUCUCGUGAAUUAUGGCCCAUCUAUUAAGAGCGAAAAUAACUUGAAAAAGGAAUGAGAUAUGAUUGUAAAGGAAAUUGCAUUAGGAAAUUCACCCCUAGCGGAGAAUCGGGUCUGAUCGGAUUGAGUUGUAUCACCUUGUUGUUGCAUUUUUAAACCUUAACUUUGAACAUCUGAUUGGGGACAUUGAUUUCUUGAAGGACUUGGAUUGGUUUGUGUUUGCUUGGUGAGGAGAAUCGCUUGUGGAUUUUCUGUCAAUGUUGUGAUUGUUGCUUGAGGACAAGCAAGGAUUUAAGUGUGGGGGGGUUGUUUAGCCCUAUUUCGUG